GGCUUCAACAUCCCCGCCGGUUGGGCGCGGCGUAUUUUCAAACGACGCGCAGUGAAUCGACUGGAGCC
ncrna:unclassified sequences nadA RNA